AGUUUGAUCCUGUGCUCAGGAUGAACGCUAGCUACAGGCUUAACACAUGCAAGUCGAGGGGCACCAUGAAAGGAACUUCGGUUCUUUUUGACGGCGACCGGCGCACGGGUGCGUAACGCGUAUCGAACCUGCCUCAUCCUCGGGUGAUAGCCUUGCGAAAGUAAGAUUAAUACCCGGCGGUCUCGGAUGGCCGCAUGACUAUCCGAGUGAAGAUUUAUCGGUAUGAGAUGGCGAUGCGUCCCAUUAGCUAGUUGGUGAGGUAAUGGCUCACCAAGGCAUCGAUGGGUAGGGGUUCUCGACAGGAAGGUCCCCCACAUUGGAACUGAGACACGGUCCAAACUCCUACGGGAGGCAGCAGUGAGGAAUAUUGGUCAAUGGACGAAAGUCUGAACCAUCCAAGUAGCGUGCAGGAUGACGGCCCUCUGGGUUGUAAACUGCUUUUAGUUGGGAAUAAAAAGAGGGACGUGUCCCUUAUUGUAUGUACCAUCAGAAAAAGGACCGGCUAAUUCCGUGCCAGCAGCCGCGGUAAUACGGAAGGUCCAUGCGUUAUCCGGAUUUAUUGGGUUUACAGGGAGCGCAAGCGGCGGCGUAAGUCAGUUGUGAAAUCGUGCGGCUCAACCGUGCAAUUGCAGUUGAUACUGCCGUCGCUUGAGUGCCCACAGGGAUGUUGGAAUUCAUGGUGUAGCGGUGCGAUGAUUAGAUAUCAUGAAGCACUCCGAUAGGGGAGGCAUAUGUCGGGAGUGCACGUUAAGCUGAGGCUGGAUAGUGUGGGUAUCAGACAGGAUUAGAUGCUAUGGUAGUCCACACAGUAUACGAUGUAUAUUUGCGGUUGGUUAGUUAGAGUCAGCCGCCAAGCAAAAGCGUUAAAUACUACACGUGGAGAGUACUCCGGCGACGGUGAAACUCAGAGGUAUUGGCGGGGGCCCGCACAAGCGGAGGCACAUGUGGUUUAAUUCGAUGAUACGCGAGGCACCAUACGAGGGCUUGAUCUGGCAGUGAGUCAUGCAGAGAGGCAUGUUUUUUCGGACAUCGGCGAAGGUUGUGCAUGGUUGUUGUCAGGUUGUGCUGUGAGGAGUCGGGUUAAGUUCCAUCACGAGGGCAACCCUUUACCCUCUUUACCAUCGGGUUAAGACGGGCACUCCAGGGACACUGCCAUGGUAAGAUUUGAGGAAGGUGGGGAUGACGUCAAAUCAGCACGGCCCUUACGUUCGGGGCUACACACGUGUUACAAUGGCCGGUACAGAAAGCAGCUACCACGCGAGGGGAAGCCAAUCUCAAAAACCGUUUUCCGUUCGGAAUGGAGUUUGCAACCUGAAUCAAAGAAGCUGGAUUCGGUAGUAAUCGCGCAUCAGCCAUGGCGCGGUGAAUACGUUUUCCGGGCCUUGUACACACCGCCCGUC
rnacentral:rRNA from 1 species